GUGGGCUCUAGUCCCUCGUCCACACAGCACUUCAGAGAGACCAGGCCACUGACCCCAGCUCCAAUCACGGCCACCUUCUUCGCCAUGGUCUUCUGUUAAGGAGUGGAUCAAUCAAUAUUACUUCGCUGGGACAAGAGGACACCCCCGGUCUUUCUGUGACCACGAGGGACCUGAGACCACACGGUCCCCAUGAGGGCUCCACGCCCUGCUUCGUCUCUGGAGCGACGGCCGGCAUCGCAGCAGACUUCUAAGCGUUCUGAUUUUGGCCCCGCUGCUCUCUCACCUGCUGGGAGAAGUGACUAAUGAACAGACAUGGAGUCUCUGGUUAUACUUCUUUUGUAUAAGUGCUCUGUUCCCGGCUAGUUAACUUGCUGGCGGGCAUGUGGCUGUUGGAAAGGACUUCUUGGAGACAUGUGAGCCGGAUAAUUCUUUGUUUAGGUGGCCUGCCUUCUGCAAGGAAGAAGACUGACUGAGGAGAGGUGAGGGGGAUAACAUGAAAUGUUACUGAAUAACCCGGAACACUGGGCAGGACGACGGUUAUCUGAGGAUGCAAGGGACGCACACUUGGAUAGGAGUUUGCCAUUAUCUUGUGGAAAGUUUUCAGGAAGUCAUUAUUUUCUUAAUUGAAAGCUCUGGGUCUUAACUUGAUAGUUUAGUGCCUCCCUUUAAUUUAUAUACGUUUGGGAAAGGAGGAUUAAUAUUUCCAGUUACGCCUUCCCCUAGAGGCUCCUGUUUGCCUGUACACAGAGAAUUUUCCGUCUGUUGGUUUUGCUGCCUCUCUCUGAGCUGAUCCUUGAGCCAGUCCACGGCCGGGGGGGGUGGGGGGGGAAGCGCACACUGGCCCGCUGCAGGGUCUGGGGUGAGUCUUGCUUUAGUAAUACUCGUGUCCGACAGAAGCUCUUCACUGGUCUCCUCACCAAGCCUUUUGAGAAGUCCUGCUGCACUGGGCCCUCCGCAGCCACGAGAAAGCGCAGAUUUCUAACUACCGGCGGCGGUGUUAGCGUCCAAGGGCCCGAGCUGCUCACUCCACACUGCCUUUAAACUGAGGCCAUGCGUGCUCGUUUGCGCUGGUCCCGGCUGAUCACGGAGGGCGGCAGGGACACUGCACAUGUCUAUUCCUUAUAGACACAGGACUCAUCUGAUGCCCAACUUCGGGUCUGCAGUUCUCCCAGGGCCUGGCCUUGACACACCUUUCUUAGACUGCUCAGUGGUCUAGGACUCUUCAGCCAGCUGUCCUGCCCCUGCUUUGUGAAGACCAGCGCCCUACCUGACCGCUGUUCCUGCCUCCCCGCUGUCUCCCUGUUACCGUUCACAGGCCACUCGACUGGGGCUCUGAUAUUGUCUGGUUCUGGGCAGUAUUCUCUCCUCUUCAGUCAGAUGCGGAAUCUCUCCCACAUGCCAUUUGCUUCUGGCGGGACUCGAAAUGGAUGGGCCAUCUGGACUGACCGUGUUCUUCCAGAAAUGUCUGCAAGAAUUUGACUAUUGCUACUACCCAGAAACUCAUCGUUUUGUCAUUGUUAUUGCUAAGACCAAAAAAUCGACUUGUGCUCCUCAUGGAUAUCAACAAGGAGCUGAUCUAAGUUGCAGACUGGAAUUUUUCUUUAAUCACUGGCCACCUUUCUGUGGUGUUAGUCCUGGGACCAGCUGGUUAGGUACUUAAGCCUGUGGCCUGCAUGAUUUGGGGGAUCUGUUCCCUUUACGGCAGCUAUAGCUGAUGUCCUAGCCUCCCCUGUAUCAAGAGUUAGAGGACCAGUAACCCAGAAAAGAAAUGACAUGUUUUCAGAAAUCUUUAUUAAGAAUGAAUUUCAGGGGCCCUUGGGUGGCUCAGUGGGUUAAGCCUCUGCCUUCAGCUCAGGUCAUGAUCUCAGGGUCCUGGGAUCAAGCCCUGCAUCAGGGGUCUCUGCUCAGUGGGGAGCCUGCUUCCCCACACCCCUGCCUGCCUCUCUGUCUACUUGUGAUAUCUGUCUGUCAAAUAAAUAAAUAAAAUCUUCUAAAAAAAGA